rnacentral:rRNA from 1 species
AACGAACGCUGGCGGCAUGCCUAACACAUGCAAGUCGAACGAAGCCUUCGGGCUUAGUGGCGCACGGGUGCGUAACGCGUGGGAAUCUGCCCUCUGGUGCGGAAUAACUCAGGGAAACUUGAGCUAAUACCGCAUAAUGACUCCGGUCCAAAGAUUUAUCGCCAGAGGAUGAGCCCGCGUCGGAUUAGCUAGUUGGUGAGGUAAAGGCUCACCAAGGCGACGAUCCGUAGCUGGUCUGAGAGGAUGAUCAGCCACACUGGGACUGAGACACGGCCCAGACUCCUACGGGAGGCAGCAGUGGGGAAUAUUGGACAAUGGGCGAAAGCCUGAUCCAGCAAUGCCGCGUGAGUGAUGAAGGCCUUAGGGUUGUAAAGCUCUUUUACCCGGGAUGAUAAUGACAGUACCGGGAGAAUAAGCCCCGGCUAACUCCGUGCCAGCCGCCGCUGUAACAC